rnacentral:rRNA from 1 species
GUGGGGAAUCUUCCACAAUGGACGAAAGUCUGAUGGAGCAACGCCGCGUGAGUGAAGAAGGGUUUCGGCUCGUAAAGCUCUGUUGUCGGGGACGAAUGUGCAGUAUUUGAAUAAAGUAGUGCAAUGACGGUACCUGACGAGGAAGCCACGGCUAACUACGUGCCAGCAGCCGCGGUAAUACGUAGGUGGCAAGCGUUGUCCGGAAUUAUUGGGCGUAAAGGGAGCGCCGGAGGGAAGGUAAGUCAGUCUUAAAAGGGCGGGGCUCAACCCCGUGAUGGGAUCGAAACUAUCGUUCUUGAGUGCAGGAGAGGAAAGUGGAAUUCCUAGUGUAGCGGUGAAAUGCGUAGAUAUUAGGGGAACACCAGUGGCGAAGGCGACUUUCUGGACUGUAACUGACGCUGAGGCUCGAAAGCCAGGGGAGCGAACGGGAUUAGAAGCCCUGGUAGUCC